AAAUUUGUUGAUAACUGCAGCAAAGGAUAACAAAAUUUGUGUGUGGAAUCCAAAUGCAACAGAACGUGGCUUAGAAAUUGUUGGGGAGUUUCCUUCCUAUAACCAGUGGUGUUUUGACAUGGACUGGGGUCAGCGGGAUCCUUCCUUGGUUGCUGUGUCAUCUGUUGAUGGCUGUGUUAGCAUAUACUCCUUGUUAGGUAGUGGUCAGCCUCCCACUCAGUCAGAUAAAUUUUCACAGAUAGC